GGUGCCUGGAGAUGGGAAUGAGAGAGCUGCAGUCUGCCAAGGAGGGGAUAAGGCUGUCCCCAGGCAGGGGCAGUGGUGCAGGUGGCACAKCAGAGCCCUGGCCUCAGGUCCCCAGGCAAUGAAGGCACCAGCAAGGGCUACUAGAUUCAGUUCCAGUAAAAGGCCUUCAGCAGGACCAAUCCUCAUGGACUGCCACUGCCCUUCCUGUCAGAGAGGAUGCAGACCUGACCUCCCACCUCAGCAUCCUGAGUAGCUCCUCCACCUCACUCCUUUUGUCAUUUAUGGGAUCUGUCCCAUCAGCUUCCCUAACCAUGCCUCCCUCCUGCAUUGAAUGUGCUGACUACCCAGCUCUCUGCGGUGGGAGAAAGAAAACAACCCUUCUUCCAGGGGUAAUCACACUGCAAUCAAACUGUGCAAUAUGAUUAGGUCUGCCUG